rnacentral:misc_RNA from 1 species
GAUGAAGAACGCAGCGAAAUGCGAUACUUGGUGUGAAUUGCAGAAUCCCGUGAACCAUCGAGUCUUUGAACGCAAGUUGCGCCCGAAGCCGUCAGGCCGAGGGCACGCCUGCCUGGGCGUCACACGCCGUUGCCCCCCCGCGCCCCGCACCCAACGCUUUGGGAGCGACCGCGGGGCGGGCUGAUGAUGGCCUCCCGUGCGCUCCGCCGCGCGGUUGGCCCAAAUACCGAGUCCCCGGCGACGUGCGCCACGACGAUCGGUGGUUGAGAGACCUCUGUCGCAAGUCGUGCGCGCCCGUCGCGUCACGCGGGCUCGCAUAGCGCCUCGCGCCGCACCCGGUGCGGAGCUUUCAACGCGACCCCAGGUCAGGCGGGGUUACCCGCUGAGUUUAAGCAUAUCAAUAAGCGGAGGA